rnacentral:lncRNA from 1 species
UCGUGAAAAAUUAGUUUAAUGGUUAAUAGUUUACAUAUUAAAAAAGAUAUUUCUAUCUAUUCGCUAAAGAGAUGCUAAUUUUGGUAAAGACAAUUAUAGGCAGCUGGAACCCUGGUCUUCCUAAAUGCACGGUAAAGGCUCACUUGAAACUAUGUAACCAAACCCAGUGGUGUUGGAUUUCCUAUUUGUCACCUUCCUAAAACUUCUAAAAGUCCUAACUCUAGCUUCUUCUUUUUCCCAAAACAAAAAAACAAAACCACACACACACACACACAAAAAAAAAAAAAAAAAAAAGGAAAGAAAAAAGACCCCACUUCCAGAAAAAAAAAAAAACCCAAACCGGGAGGAGCCGGGGGGGAGGGGGGAAGCCAACCAAAUGACCGACCCGCGUGCAUUUGAAACAAAACGCGUGUUCUACACUUGAAAGCAGAGCUCGGGGUGCUGCCCCGACUUCCCAUUUCAAAGCACAGCCACCGUUUCUCGCCGGCGGGCAGGCAGGACGCGCAGCAAAGCCGCUGGAGCCACUCUGCCACCCCCGCUCCCCCUCCUUUGGUUGGUCGCGUUACGCCGCGGCAGCCCCACGCAGGACCGCGCCGGCCCGCGCGCGCCGCUCCCGCUGAAGUUUGACCGCAUGGGAAGCCCGUCGUGUUUCCUACACGAUUCCUAUCGAAAUGGGCUCUUCCCAAGGCGGAGGGAGGGCGGGCGGGCGGGCGGGAGGCAAAGGAGGCUUUCCGGCUGCCUUCUCAGGACAGGGGUCUCUGCUCAGCGUUCCCGCCAAAAUCCUCUCAUCUCCAGUUUGGGCGCCAAACCCGCCUUCCCUUUCCGCCGCCGCGAAGCGCCCGGCUCGAGGGCGGGGGUCGCCCGGGCCCGGCGGGCUUCCCUUUCGGCAGCGGCCGCGUCGCUCGGGGCGGGCUGGCCGUUUCCGAUCGCUCCUCGCCCGUCGGGGCGCCGAGGAGGGCGAAAGCCGGGCACCCGCCGGGCGCGAGGCCGGGCUCUGUCAGUGCCCGCGGGCGCGGCGGGUCCGUCCCCGCGACCCUCCCCCGGCGCGGGGCUUCGCCCUCGUUCCUCUGUUCGACACGUCAUAAAAUGCGGGAAUGUGACGACGAGCCCUCUCGCGCAUUUUGGGGAGCAGGGUCGGUCGUGCGUUGCCACCGCCCGGUUCUCCCCUUUCCCCUGUUUCGGGCUUGCUGCCCCCCGUAUUAUUCCCGCAGGAUUAUUUGAAGAUAUUUUUUAACGAAACACAGCUCCGACCCAGCUGCGCGCUUCCCAUGGCUAGGAACGGUGAGGGACGGAUUUGCUCGACGUGCAUCUGCGGAGUAUGAAGUUACCGGUGUUAUAACGGUGCCUUCGCGCCGCCCCGUCCCGAACGACGGCUCUUUUCAGGAAUCACCGUGCUAACGCGCAGCGGGCGCCCCUCUCUCCGCCUCUCACACCCCCCCCGCCAAUUGGAGCCGUUGGGAACCCC